CACGUAGGGGGCGAGCGUUGUCCGGAUUUAUUGGGCGUAAAGGGCUCGUAGGCGGUUUGUCGCGUCGGGAGUGAAAACAUCUGGCUUAACUGGGUGCUUGCUUUCGAUACGGGCAGACUAGAGGUAUGCAGGGGAGAACGGAAUUCCUGGUGUAGCGGUGAAAUGCGCAGAUAUCAGGAGGAACACCGGUGGCGAAGGCGGUUCUCUGGGCAUGAUCUGACGCUGAGGAGCGAAAGUGUGGGGAGCGAACAGG
rnacentral:rRNA from 1 species